CCCCAAUGGCAGCACCAGAAAACUUAGCAUGAUCUCCGCGGAUUUGUUGUCGGCUUCUGCAAAGAGUACCUUUGUUUUCUCUUUAUUCAUCAUGACUUUGAGAGAGAUCUUUGCAUCCUUGGGUAGUGUAGACCUCAUGUUUGGUUCUACAGUGGCUAAGACAACAAAAAGGGGGAAAUUUAAGCCACUAAUAUUGUGUGUUGAAUUGAAUGGCUUAGUGAAUAAAAUUUCCCUAUUUGCAAUAUCAUAACUUAGUAGUACUAUCAAUUAGUAGUAUAUUUUUUUUCUUGCUUCUAUAUUAAUUUGUUUCUCACAUAACUACAACAUGAAUACUCAGCUCAUACAUUCCAUUUUCUUUAUAUCAAAUUCUGCAGCAUGAUUCCAUAUUUGUUUCACAUAACUACAACAUAAAUACUCAGCUCAUACAUUCCAUAAAUAUCAAAUUAUGCGAAUAUCAAAUUCUGCAGCAUGUUAAACCCUUGAGUAGGGUUCUUGGCCUUGCAUUAAAAAUUAACAAUUACUACAAACAAUUUGCACUUAAAAUAAAAGAAAUGAUAUUAAGUCUUGAAAAGCUAAACCUACCUCAACUUUUUUGGCCGGAAAUAGGAGUUCGUGGCGGCGGUGGCCGGAAAUAGGAGUUCCUGGCGGUGUGGAGAGCUGAAAAAGUUUCACAAGAAUCACAACCACUUUUCUUGUAAAAGAU
rnacentral:lncRNA from 1 species